rnacentral:rRNA from 1 species
AGAGUUUGAUCAUGGCUCAGGACGAACGCUGGCGGCGCGCCUAAUGCAUGCAAGUCGAGCGACGCAUGCUCGGUGGGUAACCACUGGGUAUGACGGAGCGGCGAACGGGUGAGUAUCACGUGAGAAACCUGCCCCGAAGACCGGGAUAGCCCGGGGAAACCCGGAUUAAUACCGGAUACCCUCUCUGGAUCGCAUGGUCCGGUGAGGAAAGGCCUUUGUGCUUCGGGAUGGUCUCGCGGCCUAUCAGCUUGUUGGUGAGGUAACGGCUCACCAAGGCAACGACGGGUAGCUGGUCUGAGAGGACGAUCAGCCACACUGGGACUGAGACACGGCCCAGACUUCUACGGAAGGCAGCAGCAGGGAAUCUUGUCCAAUGGGCGAAAGCCUGAGACAGCGACGCCGCGUGAGGGAUGAAGGCCUUCGGGUUGUAAACCUCUUUCAGGAGGGACGAAAUUGACGGUACCUCCAGAAGAAGCCCCGGCCAACUACGUGCCAGCAGCCGCGGUAAUACGUAGGGGGCAAGCGUUGUCCGGAUUUAUUGGGCGUAAAGGGCUCGUAGGCGGCUCAACAGUCGGCCGUGAAACCCAGGGCUCAACCCUGGGACGCCGGUCGAUACUGUUGUGGCUUG